GACGAACCGUGCGAACGUUAUUCGGAAUCACUGGGCUUAAAGCGCGUGUAGGCGGAAGGGCACGUCUGGUGCUGAAAUCCCCCGGCUCAACCGGGGAACGGGCACGGAUACGGCUCUUCUGGAGGAACGUAGGGGGACCUGGAACUUCCGGUGGAGCGGUGAAAUGCGUUGAGAUCGGAAGGAACGCCCGUGGCGAAAGCGAGGUCCUGGACGUUUACUGACGCUGAGACGCGAAAGCCAGGGGAGCGAACGGGAUUAGAUACCCCGGUAGUCCUGGCCGUAAACGAUGGGCACUGGGUAGGGGGCUCGCCGAUGGGCUCCCUGCCGUAGGGAAACCGUGAAGUGCCCCGCCUGGGGAGUAUGGUCGCAAGGCUGAA
rnacentral:rRNA from 1 species